GCGUGUAGGCGGUCAGGUAAGUGGAAUGUGAAAUGCCCCGGCUCACCCGGGGACCGGCAUCCCAAACUGCCUGGCUUGAGUAUGGGAGAGGAUGGAGGAAUUCCUGGUGUAGCGGUGAAAUGCGUAGAUAUCAGGAGGAACACCGGUGGCGAAGGCGUCCAUCUGGCCCAAUACUGACGCUGAGGCGCGAAAGCUAGGGGAGCAAACGG
rnacentral:rRNA from 1 species